rnacentral:rRNA from 1 species
UACGUAGGGUGCGAGCGUUAAUCGGAAUUACUGGGCGUAAAGCGUGCGCAGGCGGUCUGUUAAGACCGAUGUGAAAUCCCCGAGCUUAACUUGGGAAUUGCGUUGGAGACUGCAAGGCUGGAGUCUGGCAGAGGGGGGUAGAAUUCCACGUGUAGCAGUGAAAUGCGUAGAGAUGUGGAGGAACACCGAUGGCGAAGGCAGCCCCCUGGGUCAAGACUGACGCUCAUGCACGAAAGCGUGGGAGCAAACAGG